UCCGUGCUCACAGUCUAUAUUUUGAUCUCUCUGCUUAUGGAAUGGAUAUAUCUUCCAUGGGUAAGGAAUCUCUGAAGCCAGGAUUUCAUCUGAAAAUCUAUGGGACAUUCCGUAAUCGAUACAUGGCUUUGGCAUGUCCAGCUUCUGAUUCCAAAGUUGUUAGAUUUCUACGGCAUACUCUCAAUUCCUCAAUAAUGAAGAACAUAUUCCACCAAUCUUUCAAUGCCUACAAGAUGGAUAUUGAACCCAGGGUGAAUGAAUUGACUCUACAUCAUGUCCAGUGUAGUAGAAGACUCUUUGAGAUCAUGCUUUCUCAUAGGAGGGUUACAGCAGCCUUUAUUGAGGGGGAUAAUGUAGUGGUCACUGUCGAAGGAGAAGCAGCCAGAGUGCUGAAUUUUGACACUGGCUGUGGAGUUAAUCUUGGAUUGAGAGGUUUGGAAUCCUUGGAAGAAUUACUUUACAGGGUUGCUACAGCAGUGGAUCAGAAUGAUAUCUUUGAAGCACUGUCUGCCAAGAUACGACACUCCAAGCAAGUGUCAGAGGAUUUUAAGCAGAAUGGAUUAUUUACCACAGUUUUUGAAUAAACAGGUGGAAGGAACACAAUGCAGCACUGUGAAGAUAUGGGCCUAUUUAUAGGACAAACAAAAUGAGUAGUAACUGCAAAAAAAUCCAGGACCUCAAAUUCAGCACAGCUAUAUAAAACUUAAAGGAGCCUGCUCAAAUUUUUUAGGAUCCAAAGUCACUUUCGCCGCACCCCACCCCCAAUGGAGGAAUUGAUGUUCUUUUUGUUGAUCCUACAGUCCUUGCUCCAUGGACUAGUCUGAGUGACUUCACGGGGAUGCUCAUGUGAUAGCGGGCUGCAGGGGCAAGCCCUUAAUUGGGGGAAAAAAAUUAAGUGGCCUCAGCUCUUCCUCUGAGAUUGUGGUCCAGCUCCUAUUGAAAUUAUUGGCAAACUUCCCACCAAUUCCAGAGGUGCAAGCCCCAGGUCUGCAAUGUGAUGCACAUGGGCAGAUCCUUGGGCCCACAUGGAGACCCACUGAAGUCACAGCUUAAUCUCAGAUGUCUGGUUGAAGACUCAUGUAUCCAUUUUCUACUCUGGGGUAAUACAAAUGAGAUGAGAGUAAUGCUGGUAGAUUGGGGAAUAAAUCUGAAUGAGGUGGCA
rnacentral:lncRNA from 1 species